GACAGAGGGUGCAAACGUUGCUCGGAAUUACUGGGCGUAAAGCGCGUGUAGGUGGAUUGGUGUGUCAGAUGUGAAAGCCCUGGGCUCAACCCAGGAACUGCACCUGAAACUACCAGUCUUGAGUGGUGGAGAGGGAAGUGGAAUUCCUGGUGUAGAGGUGAAAUGCGUAGAUAUCAGGAGGAACACCGAUGGCGAAGGCAGGUCUCUGGGCUGAAACUGACGCUCAUGCACGAAAGCGUGGGGAGCAAACAGG
rnacentral:rRNA from 1 species